rnacentral:rRNA from 1 species
CCUACGGGAGGCUGCAGUAGGGAAUCUUUCACAAUGGGCGAUAGCCUGAUGGAGCAACGCCGCGUGCAGGAUGAAGGCCUUCUGGUUGUAAACUUCUUUUAUAAGCGAGAUAUAUUAUGGUAACUUAUGUAUAAUGCUCGUCUAACUACGUUCCAGCAGCCGAGGUCCUACGUAGGAUACGAGCAUUAUCCGGAGUGACUGGGUGUAAAGAGUUGCGUAUGUGGCAUAAUAAGUAGCUAGUGAAAUCUGGUGGCUUAACCAUUCAGACUAUUAGCUAAACUGUUAAGCUCGAGACCGUUAGGGGUAACUGGAAUUUCUAGUGUAGGAGUGAAAUCCGUAGAUAUUAGAAGGAACACCAAUAGCGUAGGCAGGUUACUGGGACGGGUCUGACACUAAGGCACGAAAGCGUAGGGAGCAAACGGGAUUAGAUACCCCAGUAGUC